rnacentral:rRNA from 1 species
UUUCUAAUUACCUGUACCCGAAACCGACACAGGUAGGAAGGUAGAGAAUACUAAGGGGCGCGAGAUAACUCUCUCUAAGGAACUCGGCAAAAUUACCCCGUAACUUUGGGAGAAGGGGUGCCACCGCAAGGUGGUCGCAGUGAAUAGGCCCAGGCGACUGUUUACCAAAAACACAGGUCUCCGCCAAGUCGCAAGACGCAGUAUGGGGGCUGACGCCUGCCCAGUGCCGGAAGGUUAAGGAAGUUGGUUAGUUUCGACAAAGCUAGCGACCGAAGCCCCGGUGAACGGCGGCCGUAACUAUAACGGUCCUAAGGUAGCGAAAUUCCUUGUCGGGUAAGUUCCGACCCGCACGAAAGGCGUAACGAUCUGGGCACUGUCUCGGAGAGAGGCUCGGCGAAAUAGGAUUGUCUGUGAAGAUACGGACUACCUGCACCUGGACAGAAAGACCCUAUGAAGCUUUACUGUAGCUUGGAAUUGGGUUCGGGCUUCCCUUGCGCAGCAUAGGUGGGAGGCGUUGAAGUUUUCCUUGUGGGGAAAAUGGAGCCAACGGUGAGAUACCACUCUAGGGAGGCUAGAAUUCUAACUUUAACCCGUUAGCCGGGGAAAGGACAGUUUCAGGUGGGCAGUUUGACUGGGGCGGCCGCCUCCUAAAAGGUAACGGAGGCGCGCAAAGGUUCCCUCAGGCUGGUUGGAAAUCAGCCGUAGAGUGCAAAGGCAUAAGGGAGCUUGACUGCGAGACUUACAAGUCAAGCAGGGUGGAAACACGGCCUUAGUGAUCCGACGGCACCGAGUGGAAGGGCCGUCGUUCAACGGAUAAAAGUUACUCUAGGAUAACAGGCUGAUCUCCCCCAAGAGUUCACAUCGACGGGGAGGUUUGGCACCUCGAUGUCGGCUCAUCGCAACCUGGGGCUGUAGUAGGUCCCAAGGGUUGGGCUGUUCGCCCAUUAAAGCGGUACGUGAGCUGGGUUCAGAACGUCAUGAGACAGUUCGGUCCAUAUCCGGUGUAGGCGUAAGAGCAUUGAGAGUAGCCUUCCUUAGUACGAGAGGACCGGGAAGGACGCACCGCUGGUGUACCUGUUAUCGUGCCAACGGUAAACGCAGGGUAGCCAAGUGCGGAGCGGAUAACCGCUGAAAGCAUCUAAGUGGGAAGCCCACCUCAAGAUGAGUGCUCUCACAGGGUUAACCUGGUAAGGUCACGGGAAGACCACCCGUUAAUAGGCACUAGGUGGAAGUCCAGUAAUGGAUGGAGCCAAGGUGUACUAACAGACCGAGGGCUUGAC